rnacentral:lncRNA from 1 species
CAAGCAGGCUGCACACACAUUCCCGUUAGUACCAAGUGGCCAAUUGAGGCUUGAGAGUCGUCCCCAGCCAGACCUGGGAACCUCCCCACCCAAUACCCAGUAGACAUGCAGUCUUGGAAAGGUACUUAAAAUACCAACCAGAAUUUCCCCAUUUCUAAAUUGAGGGAAGUAGCAUUCAUCCCACAGGAUGAAUUUCAAGAUUUAAUCAAACAAUGAACAGAAACCAAUUAGUGUGGUGCUCAGAUGUAGUGGAUGUCCAAUCAAGGAUUGCUGUUCUCACUGGUGCUGUCAUGCACCAACAUUGCUCAGUGUUUUUCAGCACCCUGAGCACUGAUGUUCCCUCCCCCACUGUGGUCAGACCUGUCCCUGCCCUCUGGCACCUCCCACUCUCCAGCUUCUCUAUUACUAGUACCUGCAGGUGCCUCAGGGAAGCUGAGGCUCAGAUCUAACCUGCCCUCUGCCAUCCACCGGAGUAGUCUCCCAGGUCCGCCUGGGCUUCUCUCCACCAGGCAGGAACCUGAACCAUGCUGAGUUCCCUUGCUGUCCUGUGUGUCCUCCUGUUUCCCGGUGGUGCAGCGGGGCUCAAGCUGGAGCAGACUCCUGUGGUCGUGGGGCGCUUGGGCACCUUGGCCACCCUGCCGUGCACAGUGGAUACCUCGGUGAGCUACAUCCACUGGUACUUCCACAAGGAGGAUACAGCCCCCAAGAGGCUCCUCUACCUAGACAUGUCCAGGUCGUAUGUGCAGAGGGAUAUAUUCGUGAAAGCAGACAAAGUCAACGCCAAGAAAGGCAGGAACAGUUACAGCUGUAACCUGUUGUUGCAGAAACUGGAGAAGAAUGAUGAGGGCGUGUACUACUGCGCUGCCUGGGAAGCGCACAGCCACUCCUGCUGCCCUGGCCCCUGUGCAAAAAGGUCUCCAUAUCCUAGGGCCCUCCAUACCUGGCACCUUCCCCUGGCUCUGGGUCCCUGGAGUUACCUUGGGGUUAGGCCUUAGGACCCCAGCAUCUGGCAGGUGCCCCCUUCUUGGGUCCACUCUAUAUAACCCUGGAGGCUAAGGAGCCCCUGAUACUCAGGUUGGCUCAGACCCAGGAAGCUGUCCAGCCUGGGGGGACUUUUCUAAAGAUUGUCAGGGGCAAUGUUUCUGAAGCAUUUGGAGUAGAAUCCGUGCUGCUCGAUGUAGUAGCCACUAGUCACAGGUGGGUACUGACCACUUGAAAUGUAGCUAGUGCACUAGUCCAAGCUGAGAUGGCUACUUGUGUACCAUACAAACCAUGUUCUGGAGACUAUAAAAAAUGAUGAAAUAUUUUCUUAGUAAUAUCUAUACUGAUUAGAUGUUGAAAUACUAUUUUGGAUAUCUCACAGUAAAUAAAAGUAAUGCUAGAAUUUCAUUUGUUUCUUUAGCCUUUUAAAAAUGCAGCAGUAUGAAAAUGUUUGUCUCCAUUUGUGAUUUGUAUUUAUUUCUACUGAACAGAGCUGUGACAGACUGGUGAUGGAAGAAUCUGACCACCUGCGUGAAGAAUGUGGGAAUGAAAUAUGGUGCAAAUCAUUUCAAGAGUGAAAGACUCUGGAGAUUUACCACAAAAUGUUUGAAGGCUCAGACUGGGAGUCACCUCCUGAUUCCAGUUUCUAUGUUGCUGCCCUGCCCCCUACUAGUUACUUGCAGUGGAGAGUCAGGGAGCAGAGGCUCAGGAAGCUGAGGGCUAACUUCUCAGCACCUUCGUGCACUGGCAUGUCUGGGGCUCAACUCCUGUGAGGGGACAUGAUCCUCAGGGAGGUUGAUGCAUCAGCCCUGGGUGAGACCUGGGGACCUCCACCUUCUGCUUCUGCUUGAAUGCUACUCCAUUUGAUUUGGUCUAUAUUCCCUGGACCUCUGUUCUCUGCUCUGUAAAAUGAGGUGGUUUAACUGCCACAGUUGUGUGACUGAUUUCUGUAUCAAACCAAAAUUGUAUCAAUAAGAUAUCACUAUACUUACUAACUUCUUAUAAAAUUAGUCAACUUCUUGAGAAAGAAAAAAGAAUGAAGGAAAAAGAAAAGAAGAGCCAUAUUACUGAUUCUCUAGGAAUACCUCUGUGGCAGUAUGUGGGGAAAAGAAAAAGCUCUGCGAGAAAGUCUAAUUGAAUUAAAUGCAUUUUCAUUUGAAAAUUCAAAUUUUAUGUAAAAUGCAAAUUGCAUUGGUGAAAAUGAUUACUGUAAGGAAAGUCUACAUGAUCUGAAGGAAAUUGGUCCCUCAGAUUCACUAACUCCCCAUUUAUCUCUCUGAGCCUCUGCUUUUGUGGUGAGAGAUUUGUAUUUAAGAUAGGCAUGUCUGUACAAGAGCCCAACCAACACUUCAACCCUCUACUGAAGGCCUGGGUCAAGGCUAAGACCUCCAGUAUGUGCAGGAAGAGGUUGUAGGGGAGGGGCAGAAAUUUACCUUUGUUCUGUUCUGAGAAUGUUCCUUCAUUUAUCCUCCCCAUUACCUAUGCAACUGAACCCUUUCCUCUCAGUGCCUGACUCCACAGGGCAGUGAUCUGAGACCUGGUAACCUAUUACCGUUUGGUUAGAGAGAAAUUAGCUAAAUAUGAAGACAUUGUCAUGAGAAGUCAUCCCAAGUCAAUGUAAAUCUUAGUUUUUAACAUGGUUCCAUAGUGCCUUUGAGUUACCUCCUGAUAGGACACUGACCUUGUGCAUGGAGCAAACAACCCAUAUAUGGAGGGAAAAACAAGUCCAGAUUUGGAGUCAUUUCCUUCCCCUGCCUUUCUCCCUGUGCAUAAGGUGAGCUUCCCCAAAGAUACCUUGGGUACACAUAGCCCUCCUGUCCUCAGGAAAUGUUUGCUAAUUAAAUGGUUGUUUAAACAGCUAAGUCAUGAAAACACUAAAAGCAUUUCUUUAGAAUGUACAGCACUGAUUCCAGUGGCAGAUCUAUUGUCUGUUUAACUGAGAUUGAUAUUUUGACUAUUAGAGAGGGACUCACAUUACCUCGUGGGUAGGGGAUUUUGUUAUAGAUGGAUACUUGAAAUAUCCUGAUGGUUUGGGCUCAACUCAUUUAUUUCACUCCUAAGGUGAGUGAGACACAAUGGUUUUUUUUUUUAAUUUAUUUUUAUUGGUGUUCAAUUUACUAACAUACAGAAUAACCCCCAGUGCCCAUCACCCAUUCACUCCCACCCCCCGCCCUCCUCCCCUUCUACCACCCCUAGUUCGUUUCCCAGAGUUAGCAGUCUUUAUGUUCUGUCUCCCUUUCUGAUAUUUCCCACACAUUUCUUCUCCCUUCCCUUAUAUUCCCUUUCACUAUUAUUUAUAUUCCCCAAAUGAAUGAGCUCAUACACUGUUGGUGGGAAUGUGAACUGGUGCAGCCACUCUGGAAAACUGUGUGGAGGUUCCUCAAACAGUUAAAAAUAUACCUGCCCUACGACCCAGCAAUUGCACUGUUGGGGAUUUACCCCAAAGAUACAAAUGCAAUGAAACGCCGGGACACCUGACACAAUGGUUUUGAGUAAUGGAAGCAACGUUACAUUUUGAAGUUAAUGCUGAGUAAAGUCUAAGAACAUAUAAAAACCAUUGUUUUCAUAGUUGUAUCAUCCAUUACCAACUGAUCACACAUGUUAGUACUAUGUAAAAUGUCAUGUCUGUAACCUCAGAGUCACCUUCUAAAAAUCACAAAUCUAAAAAUUUCUGGGUACACUUGGAAAUCCAUGCUGAUUGUUUUUUACUAUUGGGGCUCUUUAUUUUUUCAGGCCCAGAGUGGGUUCAGGGACACAGUCUUGGGUAGAGGAAAGGUCGCAAGUUGAAGAGGUCACUCCUAAACAUUGGGAUCAGGAGAUCUUUUACUAUGUCACUUCCAUAUGCUUAUUUUCUCAUAGAAAACCUGUAUGGCUUGGAAUUUUAUUUUUAAAUGUAUUUUUAAAAAGAAUUCACAUGUUAUUUAAUAUUUAAAAACUUUUUUUUAAUAUUUAAAAACUUACAUAUUAUUGAGCACUUAGAUACAACGUGUGAAAUCUGAUGUUUAGAAAUGUGUCUAACGUUGGAAGACAAUCAUCAAUUAUAUGGUUUCACUGAUACAUGGAAUAUAAGAAAUAGUGAAAGGGAUUAUAAGGGAAAGGAGGGAAACUGAGUGGGUAAAAGUUAGAGUGGGAGACAAACCAUGAGAGACUCCUAACUCUGGGAAACAAACAAAUGGUUGGGGAAGGGGAGGUGAAUGAGGAGAUGGGGUAACUGAAUGAUGGGCACUAAGGCAGGCACUUGAUGGGAUGAGCAUUGAGUGUUAUACUAUAUGUUGGCAAAUUGAAUUUAAAUUUUAAAAAUGGGGUUACUAAUCUAACAAAUGAGAAAUAUUUUUAAGAAAAAGUGUGUAUUCAACAGAAAGUGUUACAAACAUGUAAAUUGAGGAUGAAAGAAAUAAUAUUUUAUCUACAGUCCUUUCAUCAAAUUAUAUAAAUGCCUUUUCCAUUUUGGGUUUUCUUUAUGUCUCUUUUGUCUAGAUACAGAGGCAGGAAUGAAAUUAUCUCAAGCAGAAUAGCACACAAAAAAAUUCUAUUCAACAAAGAUGCUUGUCAUUUCUAUUUCCUGAAAAUGUGCUCUGCUAC